ensembl:lncRNA
AUUCUGGGAAACGUAGGCAGACAGGAAUCACGGUGCUGCGGAAGGAGUAACAACAUGCCAGGGCAUUACUGGGUAAGCCACAGCCUCAUGGCAAUGCAUAGAUUGAUAGAAAUGGGUUAAUAAUUAAGAUAGAACUAGCCAAUAAGAAGCCAUAGUCAUCGGCCAACAGCUUCAUAAUUAAUAUAACCUUUGUGUGUUCAUUUGGGGCUCAAGGGCUGCGGGCCUGACAGGCCAGAAAACUCAAGCUUACACACAUCUGUCUACCCUCAAGUGACAAGAAGACUGGUCAGUUUCCCUCAUAGGGCUACAAACAAGGCACCAUGGAAUAGCAAACAGGAGACAACAUCUGGGAGGAUGUAGGGGUCAGAAAAGAGACCCAUCUAUAAACUACCUCACACCCCAACAGAUAUCUGUGGGUGAGAGUUUAUAGCAGGGAUUUCUCUGUUCCCUUACCUCACUCAAGGAGAGAAAAACUUUCCCGUUUCUGCCCUAUCUCUGAUGGCUUGGGAAACUCAGGAUUUAUAACCAGAAGACUGGUUUUAUGUGGGCUUGCAGCCACAUUCACACUCUCAGCACGAGUUACCAAAACCUAGCUGAUAAUUGGUUUUAAAACGUGACCCAGCAUGAGGAGUGCUCUCAGUCUAGAAACAAAUGGAAGUCCCUUGAAGGGACCACUGUUUCCUCCUUUGAACCAGAGCUGACUAAAAAUGAAAAUAAAGAAUCCCACCGCACUUGAGGAAGAAAGGCAUCGGGAGAGAGAGUCAGUCCAAACAGCAGGUGCUAAACAGAGCUUGACAAGCAUUUCAGAUAGAGGGCGACUGAUUAGGAAACAAAUUCAAGCAUUACAUUUUUUAUUGCAUUUACAGGAUUUAUUUAUGUGCAUUAUUUAAUUUUCAUGUGUGUGGCACGGUGCACUUGUGGAGAUCAUAAGACUUUUGGGAGUCAUUGCUUCUCUUCUGCCAUGUGGGACUCAAAAGAGGAUCCAAGUGGCUUAGGAAGCCUAGAGCAUUUAUUAUCUGGGUCUUCAUAGAAAUUAACAACUGACAAUGUUUGUUGCAGAAGGACCUGCAUAGAAGCCCCUAGUGAGCCUGGGGUUGAAAUUCAGGAAAGAGCCACACAUCAAAUGGACCCUUGUGCAGCAGGAGGAACUGAACAAGGAAGAGUAGGGAGUCGGGAUAGACAGCUUGGUAAAAGAAAAAGGGGACUAUUAAUGUAUUCUAUAUAGUUAGUUGGGUAUCUGAAAUAGCCCCUAUUUGCUUCUGAGUAUUGAGUGUUUAAAGCAUGAAUGUAAAGAGUGUGUGGAGGAAGACUAGUGCAAGCAUGCAGUUACUAUUAAUUGUGAAUGGAGUUUGGCAAACAGAAAAUGAAGAGGAAUGGAGAAAGGAUAAUUCAUUUUGAAUAAUCGCCCUUUCGACAUGUACCCAGGUGCUCUGAUCCCCAAAUAUAUGACAGCUGGUUUGUGACCCUGGCUGUGCCAGCAUGGGCUUGCACACUGCUUCUGAGCACCAAGUGCUAACACGCUCCCCUGGGAGCAUAGAGGAGGGUUGGAGAUGGUGGCAGUAAGCUGCCGUGACUGCUCCAGGCUGGUAACAGCAUGCAAGCCAGUUAGGGGAGUGACCUGGAGAAAGGAGGGUAAGAGGCACACUGAGCCUCAGGGCUCUUGUUUGAACAUGGAAGACACACCUGGCUUUCCCCAUGCUCCCUGAGGUAUGUGCACUGCCCAUCUGCUGUUCUCCUGAAUGAGUCAGUGAGAACUGGGUUGUAAAAUAAGAGUCUGAGUGAUGAGCCACCAAAUUCCUGAGCCUCUAUUGUACAAUUGUCUUUGCACAUUUACCAGGGUCCUUGUAUCACCGUCACAGAGCAGAUAUUGACCUCUUGUUCUGCAAAUAGGGAGACUGAGGCCCAGAGAAAUCUUAAGACUACACAGGGAGGUAUCACUCCAAAACCCCACUCCUUCUCCCUCACCAAGCAGUUCUGGCCAAGAUCCACAUGGGAGAGCUCAGCCCUGCUAAGGACAGGAAGGGUUCAUGACUCCCCCUACCCCCUUUCCUCCAUCCCUUCCUGAGCAUUUACAGACUGUUAACUGUUGCUGGGGGGACUGGCUCACGAGGCCUGGAUAUUCCUGAGAAUCUACGGGCAGUUAGUGGUAGCUAGGAGAGGAAAGAGACAUUUUCUUGGGUUGUGUGAGCACUGCUAAGUCCCCCGUGCUCCUCUGAACAGCCCCUCCCCACUGCAAAGUUGCUUCUGCAGCAGCCCUAAUGAAACUCAUGACUACCACACAUGGGGGUGGGUGCAGAAAAAGGGGAGGGACUAUCUGAGAAAAAAGAAGGGGCUCGAGAGUGGGAGGGGGACAAGAAAGGAUAAGAAUGGCGACUAUGAAGAAUAUACAUUACAUACAUGUCUGAAUAUACACUAUAUACAUUCCUGAAUAUACAUUAUAUACAAGUCUUAAUAAGCCCAUUAUCAUAUAUACUUAAUAAAUGCUUUUACAAAAAACAGAACAGGAAGAAAAACUGAAAAGGAAGUCCUGCUGCCCUGACUCAGAAUCACAAAUGGAUAAAGUAACAACGGCAUAAAUCUCUUUCUCAGAAAGUUGCCAUGGAAAUAGUCACAUGCUGGGAGUGAAGACCUGAGGUUUUUCCACUGGGCUAGAUGCACUGAGUAGUCACAGUCAGGGAAAGCCAGGUGGGGAGCCCAUGUACUGCUGAGAGCAGGAGGGAGGCUCAUAGAGGAUGGGAGUCUGUGACAACUUCUCAGCUAGGGCAGGCUGGAAGCCAGUGUGUGGACACAGACUUCACUCCUGGGCCUCAUGGCUGCCUUUCUGAGUUCACUUUCUACCAGCUGGAGAAAAGUGCCACGAAGACAGCAGAGAUGGGGACAGGAAAGAGAGAGGAGCAUUGCCAAUUUGAUUGGGCCACAGGGGGCAGAGAUAUUUAGUGAAACAUUACUAAUGGCUGUGUCUGCAAGAGUGCCUUGAUGUGAGUUACCUGUGAACUGGUAGACAGAGGGAAGUAGAUUGCUCUCCCCAUAAAGGAGCAGAUCUCAUGCAAACCACUGGAUGGAUGCCUGUGUUGUGCAAAAUGGCAGGGGUAGGGAAAUGUUUUCUCUCUGCCUGUCUUCGAGCUGGAACGUAAAUGCUCUGCCUUUGGGUUCUGACCUGCAGGUCACCGUGCCCCUCAGCCUCUGUAACUCUGCGAGCCAAUUCGUUAUAAGAAGUCCUGGAGCUGAAGACUGUGGCUCAGCAAUGAAGAAUGCUAACAGCUCUCACAGAGGACCAGAGCUCAGCUCCCAGCAUCGGCAUCAGAUGACUCACAAACACUCCUGGAUCUCCAGCUCUAAGGGAUCAGAUGUCCCCUUGUUGCCUCUGUGGGCACCCAGACAUGUGCGCAGAUAUACACAUAAGUAAAAUAAAUCUUAAAAAAAAAAAACAAACCCAGUCAACCAUCCAUCACCUGUCCCGCAUCCUCACGGCUCUGGCUCUCUGCAGCACCCGGACUGCCCUAAUACAAGCCUCCCCACCUUGCUGCCUUCUUUACUCAAUGUGGAAGUUACGGGUAGGGACAAACCUGAGACAGGCCAAGCAGGAGGAAGGAGAGACUCAGAGGCUUGGAAGGAAAGCAAAUGUUGGCAAUUUGGUGAUGUGACAAAUAGAGGCAGUGGACGCAGGGCCAGAUUCCUUGGCAUGUGCCUGUGUGUCGACAGCACCAUGGACUCAGUAGAGUCUAGCCACACUUGCCUUAACGCUCUGCUGCUGCGGAGCUGGAAUUUUUAGGAAGUUUGAGUGAAGGGGAAUUUAUUUUCACAUUACACUGGUCCCUAGAGAGGGGGUAUAGUCUGUGAUGCAUGCAGGGUUGUAUCCCUUAGAGAAAUGGAG